GAUGAACGCUGGCGGCGUGCUUAACACAUGCAAGUCGAACGGUGAAGCAGAGCUUGCUCUGUGGAUCAGUGGCGAACGGGUGAGUAACACGUGAGCAACCUGCCCUGGACUCUGGGAUAAGCGCUGGAAACGGCGUCUAAUACUGGAUACGAGACGUGGCCGCAUGGUCAACGUUUGGAAAGAUUUUUUGGUUCAGGAUGGGCUCGCGGCCUAUCAGCUUGUUGGUGAGGUAAUGGCUCACCAAGGCGUCGACGGGUAGCCGGCCUGAGGUGGUGACCGGCCACACUGGGACUGAGACACGGCCCAGACCCCUACGGGAGGCAGCAGUGGGGAAUAUUGCACAAUGGGCGAAAGCCUGAUGCAGCAACGCCGCGUGAGGGAUGACGGCCUUCGGGUUGUAAACCUCUUUUAGCAAGGAAGAAGCGAAAGUGACGGUACUUGCAGAAAAAGCGCCGGCUAACUACGUGCCAGCAGCCGCGGUAA
rnacentral:rRNA from 1 species